UGCCGGCGACCGGCGCAAGGGUGCGUAACGCGUGAGCAACAUGCCCGUCUCAGGGGGAUAACCGGUGGAAACGCCGCCUAAUACCCCAUGGCGAUAUAUUGAGGCAUCUUGAUAUAUCUAAAGCUCCGGCGGAGACGGAUUGGCUCGCGUGACAUUAGCUGGACGGCGGGGUAACGGCCCACCGUGGCUACGAUGUCUAGGGGUUCUGAGAGGAAGGUCCCCCACACUGGAACUGAGACACGGUCCAGACUCCUACGGGAGGCAGCAGUGAGGAAUAUUGGUCAAUGGGCGGGAGCCUGAACCAGCCAUGCCGCGUGAAGGCGAGUGCCCUACGGGCGUUAAACUUCUUUUGUGCGGGAGCAAUAAGGGCCACGCGUGGCCCGAUGAGAGUACCGCACGAAUAAGCAUCGGCUAACUCCGUGCCAGCAGCCGCGGUAAUACGGAGGAUGCGAGCGUUAUCCGGAUUUAUUGGGUUUAAAGGGUGCGUAGGCGGAUCGUUAAGUCAGUGGUCAAAUUGAGGGGCUCAACCCCUUCCCGCCAUUGAAACUGGCGAUCUUGAGUGGAAGAGAAGUAUGCGGAAUGCGUGGUGUAGCGGUGAAAUGCAUAGAUAUCACGCAGAACCCCGAUUGCGAAGGCAGCAUGCCGGCUUCCUACUGACGCUGAAGCACGAAAGCGUGGGGAUCGAACAGGAUUAGAUACCCUGGUAGUCCACGCGGUAAACGAUGA
rnacentral:rRNA from 1 species